rnacentral:rRNA from 1 species
UAGGGAAUCUUCCACAAUGGACGCAAGUCUGAUGGAGCAACGCCGCGUGAGUGAAGAAGGUUUUCGGAUCGUAAAGCUCUGUUGUUGGUGAAGAAGGAUAGAGGUAGUAACUGGCCUUUAUUUGACGGUAAUCAACCAGAAAGUCACGGCUAACUACGUGCCAGCAGCCGCUGUAAUACGUAGGUGGCAAGCGUUGUCCGGAUUUAUUGGGCGUAAAGCGAGCGCAGGCGGAAGAAUAAGUCUGAUGUGAAAGCCCUCGGCUUAACCGAGGAACUGCAUCGGAAACUGUUUUUCUUGAGUGCAGAAGAGGAGAGUGGAAUUCCAUGUGUAGCGGUGGAAUGCGUAGAUAUAUGGAAGAACACCAGUGGCGAAGGCGACUCUCUGGUCUGCAACUGACGCUGAGGCUCGAAAGCAUGGGUAGCGAACAGG